GGCCAAGUGGUCCGGGAGCCGCGCGUUCGGGUGUGGGGGACCGUAGCUUGGACCCGGGAGGGCUGCAAGCCUACUCAAGCUGCUUUUCUUCUUCCAUCACCUUCUCCUUUCGCUGUACACGGGCCACACAGUGGAACUGCAGCGGUGAAAACGACUGAAGUCGGGGCGCUGUAACCUCCUGACCACCCUGAGGAGCGGCAGCGGAAACACAAGUAAGAAUGGAGGAUGCUCUUCUCCCUAGAAGCUAACAAAGGGUCAAGUCUUUCUCUGUGAAAUGGCUGUAGAAUAUAAACAGAGGCUCCUGGCAUUUCCCUCCUGGCUCAGUUCAAGAACCACCCACUCCAAGCUGUCUUCCUGGAUUUUCUCAGCCCAAAGUAAUCCUUCUUUUUCUGAGGUAAGUUAUAAAUCUUGUUAUUGUUCAGUUGCUAAGUCGUGUCCAGCUCUUUGUGACCCCAUGGACUGCAGCAUGCCAGGCCUCCCUGUCCAUCACCAUCUCCUGGAGUUUGCCCAAGUUCAUGUCCUUUGAAUCGGUGAUGCCAUCCAACCAUUUCAUCCUCUGUCACCCCCUUCUCCUGCCCUCAAUCUUCCCCAGCAUCAGGGUCUUUUCCAGUGAGUCAGCUCUUCACAUCAGGUGGCCAAAAUAUUAGAGCUUCAGCUUGAGCAUCAGUCCUUCCAGUGAAUAUUCAGGGUUGAUUUCCUUUAGGAUUGACUGAAUUGAUCUUGCUGUCCAAGGGAUUCUCAUUGCUCUUGGUUUAUUUGUUUUAUUUAGACUCCAUUCACUGUUUUACAAUCAUACCCUUUGCUUUGUACUUAUUUGGCUUUGUUUUGGGCCAUGCCACGGCAUGUGGGAUCUUAGUUCCCCUGCCAGGGAAGUCCCUGUACUUGUUCAUAUUCAUGACUUCUAUCCUCUACCUGAUUUUAAAUUCCUUGAGGGAAGGUACUUAGGUUGUUCAACUUUAAAUGAAUAAUUUUCUUUCUCAUCAUCAGGUACAAAAGAGGUUCAACAGUGAGGUAAGUUGAUAAGUUCCCCAGUGUACUUAGAAUCUAAUCUUUAAUUUCUCUUGUUUCUAGUGAGGACUUUUCCUGUGAAAUACUAGUAAUUUCCUUUGUCCCCAGCAAUCUCCUUUGUAACUUGAAGCCUGUUUUCUAUGAUUUUCUUUGCCAUGGUGUUGAUGGAACUACUUCCACCAGGGGGAGCUCCUUACUAUAUCUAGGUCAAUUUCUUUUUCUUUAGAGGCAAAAGAAAGGAGACUUCAUCAGGCAAAAUAUUGAAGCAGUGGGAAUACAAACAAUAGGAAGUAGGAACUUGCGACUUGGGACUUGAUUUGAUUCCAGCACCAGUUGGCCCAAAUGCCAUUCACUUGUCAUAUUGGGUUUUGGUAUGAUUCUGGCCCAUGUGUAAAGAUUUCUCUCUCCCCAGCCAUUUAUUUCAUCUACAGAUAUAUAUUAAUCAUGUACUUUCUGUCAAGUAUUGCAGAUGCUGAGCUUCAUCUGUGAACAAAACCUACCGAGUCUCUGACCUCAUGGAACUCAUGAUGUGGACUCAGGAUCCCUGAAGACUUCCUUAUGGAUUUUGUCUCUGGGAACAUGGCUCAGCAGCAUGGACACAGAAAGAGCAGUGGUGGCUGAUUGCAUUGAUCCGGAUUUGGAAGUUGUUAAAGCAGAAGGAUAAGACUCUUGAGAGUCCCUUGGACUGCAAGGAGAUCAAAUCAGUCAAUCCUAAAGGAAAUCAACGCUGAAUAUUCAUUGGAAGGACUGAUGCUUAAGCUGAAGCUCAAACUUCAAUACUUUGGCCACCUGAUGUGAAGAGCCGACUCACUGGAAAAGACCCUGAUGCUGGGAAAGAUUGAAGGCAGGAGGAGAAGGGGACCACAGAGGACGAGAUGGUUGGAUGGCAACACCGACUCAAUGGGCAUGAACUUGGACAAACUCUGGGAGAUAGCAGAGGAUAAAGGAGCCUGGUGUGCUGGGAUCCAUGCGGUCUCAAAGAAUCAGACAUGACUUAGCGAUUGAACAACAACAACAAUCUCUUCCACCACUUCCUC
ensembl:lncRNA